CUCACUCAUAGUAACCAAUGAAUGUACCAGCACAAGCAACCACCAAGGGCGUCCGCGGCAGGCACGAAGACACGACCAAUCCCGGGCCGCGGCGAGGUGGAAGGGAGCAUGGAAACUGCUUUUGCUUCCACUUCCCUUCCUUGGCUGGUUGUAGGGUAGCCGCCUGAUGGACUCAUAUGCUCCACUGUCCGCCAGUGCUCACACGCCUGAAGCCCACUACAACUUGUGCAUGGACACAACUACCACAAAACCGCGACCUGCCGAAUAUCGCCGUGGAUGGACAUUUUUCCCAUCAACCAAGCUUUGGGCACGAAAUUCCGUCACCACCUACAAUAACGUCAAUCUUUCAAACACCACUCCAUCUCACGGGCGUAUCGGCUUAUUUACGGCUUCCGAACAUAUUGCGGCUUAGUCAAUUGAACAUUGCCACACAAUACCGGUCCCAGUCGGUAUUGAACCUUCCUGCCCCCAUCACCACUGGAGGCUUUCGAGAACGAACACGCACCACUAAGUGCAGUUUGACGGUUUCGGCUUGCCGCAGCCGAGUUGAACGACCCGUGGAUGCUUCAAGGCCACCUCUUCGUGCGUGGACCAAAGGCUCGUUCCGAUCAGCACCUGAAAACCGAAAACUAGGUACCGGCGAACCGCAUCUCCCACCCGCUACGCCAGUCGAACUCCAACUUUGGCUCGGCCUGCCCUGCAUCACCCGAGCCUGGAAGGGUGAAGAG